rnacentral:lncRNA from 1 species
AGCCUCUGUUGUUAUUUGAAACCUUUUUGUCCAAUGGGUUAACAUGUUCUAAUCAGUGGUGGAUCUAGAAAAUAUUUUGACUGGGGGCAAAAUUAAUUAGUUAAAUAGUGAUAUUAUAAUAUAUAAAUAUUUUAUAUCUUUUAAAAAAAUUAGAAGAAAACUAAACCAGUAAAAUAAUACAAAUAUUUUUUUUUAAAUAAAAGAACUAUAAUACUAGAACUGUUUGUUAUGAAAACAAAAAUAUUCAAAAGACAAUCGAAUCUGAAUGAUGAAUAAUUAAUGAACAAAAAAAUUAAGAAAAAGCAGGUGAGAAAAAAGAAAAAAAAAAGAGGUGAGAAAUAGGAAGGAGAAUGACAGGCGAAGCCGUGGAGGAAAGAGGAAUCAGAAAAAGUAAGAAAAAUAAAGGGGGCAGAUGGGCUUUAAACUGUGGCCCAGUGGGGGCAUCGUAGUAGAUUUAACCAUAUGAACUGUAAAAUCCUGGAUAUUUCUAAUACAUAUAAAAUUUUGUAUAGUUUUAGUGGGAGCAGCUGCCCCCUCCUUGGACACUGUAGAUCUGCCCCUGGUUCUAAUCAUAUGUAACGUCUGGCGCAAUUAUUAGAGGAUGUGUUUAUGAGCAAUAACAUGCAUGCAGUUUUUGUUUGUAUAUAGUUACUUGAACAAAACACCGGCGAACAAUUUUUUUUUAAUAAUGGAUGAAUAUAUAAGAGUGAUGGAAUAAUUUUGUUAGAGGACUAGAGUAUUUAUUAACCGGC